ACACAGCCCUGCUCAUUUUGGUCUUCCCAAUCCCUCUGUUGUUUAUUCCUUCUCCCUUAGGUUUUGUGCUAUGGUGCUUACUCUUGCUCUGCCCUUGUACUGCGUAUGAAGAAGACUCCAAGAAACACAUGUCCUGUAUUACUGUAGUUGUUUUGAAUCUGAUCAUUGUUGGCGUGUUGAUAUGCAGGUACUUGAGCACAGGAGGUCAAUACCAGUACCAGGAGGAGAUUGGGCAGCUUGAAAUCAUUAGAACUGUGUCAUUAGAACCACAGGGAAAACAGAUAAUGGGACACCCUCAUCUGCAUGACCUCGGAGGACCCAUAGAAUAAGCAUCAAAUAAGGGCAACAGUUCAAGUCUAUGACUGAAUUUAGGAACAACAUAUUGCUGUGCUGAAGCGACAUGGAAUCAUUUAGUCAUCACCUCUACUGAAAAGUGAUGCAAAGUAUCUCUUCAGUAGUUGAUCCAAUCCCAGCAGGAUCCUCAGUGUUCAAAUUCUGAAACCCUGAAUAUAAGUCCUCAGUCUGCUAACUAACCUUCUGAAUGUCUUGAACUUACCUAAAAUCACAAACUUCAGGACGGAUAAGAUAAAGUCUACAAAUUACAAAGUCUACAAAUAAGAUUUGUCUACAAAUUACAUGGCUCAUGUAAGAAUUGAACCCGAUUCCUCGAAACAUCAUGGAUGUACUUCUUGUUUAAAGCUGAUGUUAAACUGAAAGUUAUGUACUGGGCACAAUAAUAGUCAACUAAACAUAUAAUAAAAACCUUAACUUGGGAAAAUUCUUGUAAUUGUACUCCAGAUACAAGAUAGAGUUUCUUUUCUUGACCUCUGAGCAUCUUUAGCAAAUAUCACUUUUACCCAUUUAUGCAAUCCAGGGGAACCUGGAACUUACGUGUGUGUGUGUGAUAAAAAAAGCACGUAUGCUCAAAACAGAGUGGCAUAAAUGAAAUAUACUGAUACGYUGCUGAUGUAUUUUUUUCUUUCUCUCUUUCUCAUAUAAUGCUGCUGCAUGGGUUCCCCUCAAUUCUUUGGAUAUGGACCCUUGGGGCCAUGUAGAUAUCAACCAAAUCGCCUGGAGACAGCAUUUAAUAGAUCAUUAACCCAAUGGUGAAUCAGAAUGUUUGAAACAGAAACAAGAAAAUAGCAGGAAAUAUCUUGCAGUGUAUGCCUGGCAAACUAGAGUGAAACCCUGCCCUCAUCAAAGUUAAUACUUAAAGUAAAAAUUCAUUCUUGAUAUUUAUAAUCAUCCCUGGAUAGUUCUUAUU